UACGUAGGGUGCGAGCGUUAAUCGGAAUUACUGGGCGUAAAGGGCGCGUAGGCGGUUCGUCAAGUCCUGUGUGAAAUCCCCCGGCUCAACUGGGGAACUGCACAGGAAACUAGCGGGCUUGAGUUCGGGAGAGGGAAGCGGAAUUCCAGGUGUAGCGGUGAAAUGCGUAGAUAUCUGGAGGAACACCGGUGGCGAAGGCGGCAUCCUGGACCGGCAUUGACGCUGAGGAGCGAAAGCCAGGGGAGCAAACGGG
rnacentral:rRNA from 1 species